CAACUGCAAUAUAGUGCACGGUUCAGAGAGACAGUCUUCUGGUUUCAAAAUGUGGUUAUACUUGGGCUUUGAAAAAAACUCCUUAACUGCUAAAGAUCUAGGGGAAAAGGUCAAAGCGACUGUUGAGAGUCAUUGCAAACAUCUUAGGCUUCAAAACACACACGUGGGACCGCGGUGAGUGCUCUCCCUUCUGUGUCACCAGGAUGCUAAGCCACUAUCUGGGGCCCUGGAACCCCAGAGCAGCCCUCAGGCCUCCACAGGCCCUGGGUGCCUCCCGCUCUGAGAAGACCCAGACUCUACCCAGGCAUCCAGAGACUUCCUGAGCCUGACCUGGAGGCAUUAAGGAGCCUGCCAGUCACUGGGCGCUUCCCUGUGAGGUCUCAUUCAUGGGAUCUGAGCACACGGAAACCAACGCUCACCCCUCAUAACCCAGAGGACAAGGGGAGUUGCAGCGUGUCUUGCCUAGUUUUAGAAUGUAUUUGAUUUCAAAAUCUUUUGUGGAUCUUCUAUUAACAGUAAAUGAACGCGGUAUUCCUGCUGUAGGUUACUCUAUAAUAAACGAAAGGAACUAGAAGGGCUGAGGUGGCCUGAGUGAGUCUGAGUUUCAGGAGAAAUACUUGCUCUGUUGCUACACAAAUUCAACACAGAAACAGACACUAGACGCCGCAUGGCCCCUGCAUGUCACCGUUUGCCAACCCCCAUCACUGGCUGCACUAGGCUUGUAAGUCACCGAUUAUUUACCACAGAAAUGUUGUAAAAAAUAAGCAAAGCAGUAACUUCUGAAAUAGCAAAUAAAAGUGAAUGUUUUAAUAAAGAUUCCACUAUAUUUACACAUUUAUUUUUCUGAUAAAAAAUUACAAAUUUAAAAAUUGGAAACUAUGGACAAGUAUAAAGAAAAGCUUAAAUUCCCCAUAUGCCUGUCUUAGCAUUGUGAUAUACUUAUUUUUAUCCCCCAGACAUAUUUAUAUAAAUUUAUUUAUGCAAGCAAACAUCCAUUCUGUAUACACGGUUUAUUCUGCCAAGCUUUACUGUCUCUUAAACCCUUUCUAAAUAUCAUUACAUAUCCCUAAAAACCUAUGGUUUCUUUUUUAACAGACACACAGCAGUGCUCCACCAGAUGGAUAUACAGCAAUUCAAUCACGUUCCUCUGGACGGCCACUGGCUUCCAGUGCCGGGAGGAACACUCAGGUGGGAGGCUCUGGCAGUGACUGGGGUGGGCAGCCUGAUGCCAACCUCUAAGGCCCUGGCAGCCACACCUCCCUGCCACUGCCAGGCAAGCCUGGGCUACUAUUUUAAUUUACUCUUUGCUUGUCUGGUAGGGAAAACAGCAUGUAUUUUAAUUCGCAUUUUAACUACUAACAACAUUAUAAUUUUUCAUAUAUUUAUUGGUAAUUUUAUUUAUUUUUUGCGGUUUGCCUGUUCACAUGAUUGGGCUGCAAUUCCAUCUGGCUAGUCAUCUCUUUCUAAUUGAUUCCAAGACCUGACAGCACGUGAUUUCUCUAAUUACUUGUUUGCUUUUACAAUCGUGUUUUUGCUGAUUUCUGCCACAUAGACUGCCAGAUUCUAUCUAGCCCAGGGUCCAUUCCAUCCAUUGUUGCUGC
rnacentral:lncRNA from 10 species